rnacentral:piRNA from 1 species
UGAUGAUUCAGACUUCCCUCCCACUCCUUU